ACAUACGACCAUAGCUUGUAGAAAGCACGGGAUCCCGUCCGCUCUCCCUUAGUUAACCUACAAAGCGCUAGAAUAGUACUACGGUGGGUGACCACGUGGGAAUUCCUAGUGUUGUAUGUU
rnacentral:rRNA from 1 species